UACGUAGGCAGCAAGCGUUGUUCGGAGUUACUGGGCGUAAAGGGUGCGUAGGCGGUCCUAUAAGUAUGGUGUGAAAUCUCCCGGCUUAACUGGGAGGGUGCGCUAUAGACUGUGGGACUAGAGUGUGGGAGAGGAAAGUGGAAUUCCCGGUGUAGCGGUGAAAUGCGUAGAUAUCAGGAGGAACACCGGUGGUGUAAACGGCUUUCUGGACCAUAACUGACGCUGAGGCACGAAAGCGUGGGUAGCAAACAGG
rnacentral:rRNA from 1 species